ACAUCCAGAGAACUUAGCAGAGAUGCUUUGGUGCCUUCGGGAACUCUGAGACAGGUGCUGCAUGGCUGUCGUCAGCUCGUGUUGUGAAAUGUUGGGUUAAGUCCCGNAACGAGCGCAACCCUUAUCCUUUGUUGCCAGCGGUUCGGCCGGGAACUCAAAGGAGACUGCCGGUGAUAAACCGGAGGAAGGUGGGGAUGACGUCAAGUCAUCAUGGCCCUUACGGCCAGGGCUACACACGUGCUACAGUGGCGCAUACAAAGAGAAGCGACCUCGCGAGAGCAAGCGGACCUCAUAAAGUGCGUCGUAGUCCGGAUUGGAGUCUGCAACUCGACUCCAUGAAGUCGGAAUCGCUAGUAAUCGUAGAUCAGAAUGCUACGGUGAAUACGUUCCCGGGCCUUGUACACACCGCCCGUCACACCAUGGGAGUGGGUUGCAAAAGAAGUAGGUAGCUUAACCUUCGGGAGGGCGCUUACCACUUUGUGAUUCAUGACUGGGGUGAAGUCGUAACAAGGUAAGCGUAGCGAG
rnacentral:rRNA from 1 species